UAAGCGAUGGCGUCUCCUAUAGGGCACUGCUAUGUAGGCAAUCUGGAGAGAGAGGUGCAGGUGGUCUUUCCAAGAAAAAGCUAACAUGACAGAAGGAGAUAUAGUGCGUGAGUUUAAACUACUAGUAAAGGUAGAAAUUAAAUCACGCCGCCUAGUGGCUAUUAAUAGACAAGACCUAGAGCUUAGCAAAGAGUUCUCAAAACUCUUUAGGCACGACCUACGCGAAAAAGCUAUAUCUAACUUCCUAUAAGUUAUAGAUAAUAUCUAACAAUAAAUAAUAAUACUCUCCUGCUGCUAGUGGCGUAGGUACAUGUAUAAUUAGGGCUGCAAACGCUUCCUAGAAACUUUAACUUAAUACUGCAAUAAAUUUUGAACUAAAACUUAACCUAUUAAGGUAAACAUAGUAAUAAAGAGAAAGGGGUCCUAUGGUCGCGCGCAGGUGUGAAGUCUUACAAUAUCUCGUUGAUAGAACCCCGCUCACUCUUAAAAAUGAUAAAUUUAAAGACGAUUAGAUACCGUUGUAGUCUUAACUGUAAACUAUGCUGACUAGGGAUUGGGCGAUGUUCUUUUUCUGACUCGCUCGGCACCUUACAAGAAAUUAAAGUUUUUGGGUUCUGGGGGGAGUAUGGUCGCAAGGCUGAAACUUAAAGAAAUUGACGGAAGGGCACCACUAGGCGUGGAGCCUGCGGCUUAAUUUAACUUAACACGGGGAAACUUACUAGGUCCAGAUGAAAUAAGGAUUAACAGAUUAAGAGCUCUUUCUUGAUUUUUUAGGUAGUGGUGCAUGGCCGUUCUUAGUUGGUGGAGUGAUUUGUCUGCUUAAUUGCGAUAACGAACGAGACCUUAACCUGCUAAAUAGCCAGGCUAGCUUUAGCUGGUCGCUGGCUUCUUAGAGGGACUAUUAGCUUAAGCUAAUAGAAGUUUGAGGCAAUAACAGGUCUGUGAUGCCCUUAGAUAUUCUGGGCCGCACGCGCGCUACACUAAUAGAGCUAACAAGUUCUUUACCUUAACUAAAAGGUCUGGGUAAUCUUGUUAAACUCUGUCGUGCUAGGGAUAGAGUAUUGCAAUUAUUGCUCUUUAACAAGGAAUGCCUAGUAAGCGCGUGUUAUUAGCAUGCGUUGAUUACGUCCCUGCCCUUUGUACACACCGCCCGUCGCUACUACCAAUUAAAUGGCUUAGUGAGGCCUUUGGACUGGCUUGGGGAGGUUAGCAAUAACUACCCUGAGCCGGAAAGUUCGUUAAACUUGGUUAUUUAGAGGAAGUAAAAGUCGUAACAAGGUUUCUGUAGGUGAACCUGCAGAAG
rnacentral:rRNA from 1 species